GGUGGUUCUUGGGUGAUGCACCCUAGAAUUGGGCACCCUCCUCUCUGGUUCCAGGUGCAUAACCGGAGAACUGCA
rfam:Myotis davidii contig171662, whole genome shotgun sequence.